rnacentral:lncRNA from 13 species
UUCUGCCAAAUUCAACAGCUUUUCUCUAUCGUCAUUCUUUUUUUUUCGAGAUAAGGUCUUGUUCUGUAGGCUGGAAUGCAGUGAUGUGAUCGCAGCUCACUGACUGAAGCCUCAACCUCCUGGGCUCAGGUGAUCCUCCCACCUCAGCCUCCUGAACAGCUGGGACUACAGGUGCACAACACCACGCCUAGGCACUAAGAAGUGAUUAUAAAUUGAAAGUGGAUGAUCCAGCUGUAAGCCACACCCAGCUGUCAGUCAACUCUGCUUACCGAAUGCCUCAGCACUAUGAAUACAACUAUUAGUCACCAGAGUGGACUCUCCCUUUGUCGCCCAGGCUGGAGUGCAGUGGCACAGUCUCAGCUUGCUGCAACCUCUGCCUCCCAGGUUCAAGCAAUUCUCCUGCCUCAGCCUCAUGAGUAGCUGAGAUUACAGGUGUCCACCACUAUGCCCAGCUAAUUUUUAUAUUUUAAGUAGAGAUAGGGUUUCCCCAUGUUGGCCACGCUGGUCUCGAACUCCUGACUUCACAUGAUC